GAUGAAGAACGCAGCGAAAUGCGAUAAGUAGUGUGAAUUGCAGAAUUCCGUGAAUCAUCGAAUCUUUGAACGCACAUUGCGCCCUUUGGUAUUCCUUAGGGCAUGCCUGUUCGAGCGUCAUUUGAAACCUCAAGCUCAGCUUGGUGUUGGGUGUCUGUCCCCGCCUCACCGCGGGGACUCGCCUCAAAAUCAUUGGCGGCCGGUACGUUGGCUUCGAGCGCAGCAGAAACGCGAACUCGAGGCCCGGCGGAUCGGCGACCAGAAGUCACUUCUUCACAGUUUGACCUCGGAUCAGGUAGGGAUACCCGCUGAACUUAAGCAUAUCAAUAAGCGGAGGA
rnacentral:misc_RNA from 1 species